CAUGGCUCCUGAAAAACAAGGUAUGGGGAGUCGGACCUGCCCAGUGAAUAAUUUUAAACGGCCGCGGUACUCUGACCGUGCAAAGGUAGCAUAAUCAUUUGCCCUAUAAUUGAGGGCUAGUAUGAAUGGUUUGACAAGAAUAAAGCUGUCUCCAUACAAUUUUAUAGAAUUUUAUUUUUAGGUGAAGAAGCCUAGAUAUUAUUAAAAGACAAGAAGACCCUAUCGAGCUUUAAAACAGUUGAUUAGUUAGUGUUAUAUAUUAAAUAAAACAAUAUUUAUCAAAUAUUUUGGUUGGGGCGACUAAGGAACAAAUAAAGCUUCUUUAACAUAAAUUAAUAACAAACAAGUAAUGAUCCAAAAAAUUUUGAUCAAAGAAAUUAGUUACCGUAGGGAUAACAGCAUUAUCUUUUUUGAGAGCCCACAUCGAAAAAAAGGUUUGUGACCUCGAUGUUGGACCAGAAUAUCCUGAAGAUGCAGAAGUCUUUAAGGGUUGGUCUGUUCGACCAUUAAAAUUCUACGUGAUCUGAGUUCAGACCGGCGUGAGCCAGGUCAGUUUCUAUCUUUUAUUAAUAGUAGUAAAUUCAGUACGAAAGGACCAAUUUAUUAUAUCUAAAAAGAUAUUAUUUGUGAUAAUGUAUAAUAAUAAAAUCAAUAUAUUAGC
rnacentral:rRNA from 1 species